GAUGAACGCUGGCGGCGUGCCUAAUACAUGCAAGUCGAGCGAACAGACGAUGAGCUUGCGCCUCUGUCGAUUGCGGCACACGGGUGAAAAACGCGUGGAUAACGUCCCUGUAAGACUGGGAUAACUUGGGAAAACCGGAGAUAAUACCAGAGAAUAUAUUGAACCACAUGGGUCAAUAGAAAAUGACGGCUUUGCUGUCUCUAAUAGAUGGUUCCGCGCUGCAUUAGCUAGUUGUGAAGGUAACGGCUUUCCAAGGCGAGGAUGCGUAGCCGACCUGAGGGACGGAUCGGCCACACUGGAACUGAGACACGGUCCAGACUCCUAAGGGAGGCAGCAGUAGGGAAUCUUCCGCAAAGGUCGAAAGUCUGACGGAGCAACGCCGCGUGAGUGACGAAGGUCUUCGGAUCGUAAUGCUCUGUUAUUGGGGAAGAACAACUGUGGAAGUAACUAUGCACGGCUUGACGGUAAUUAAUCAGAAAGCCACGGCUAACUACGUG
rnacentral:rRNA from 1 species